rnacentral:tRNA from 1 species
AGUGGUGUGGCUCAGAGGAAGAGCACUUGCCUAGCAUGCAUGAAAUCCUGGGUUCAAUUCCCAGCAAAACAA